rnacentral:rRNA from 1 species
GAGUUUGAUCAUGGCUCAGAUUGAACGCUGGCGGAAUGCUUUACACAUGCAAGUCGAACGGCAGCACGGGGCAACCUGGUGGCGAGUGGCGAACGGGUGAGUAAUACAUCGGAACGUGCCCAAUCGUGGGGGAUAACGUAGCGAAAGUUACGCUAAUACCGCAUACGAUCUACGGAUGAAAGCGGGGGAUCGCAAGACCUCGCGCGAAUGGAGCGGCCGAUGUCAGAUUAGGUAGUUGGUGGGGUAAAGGCUCACCAAGCCAACGAUCUGUAGCUGGUCUGAGAGGACGACCAGCCACACUGGAACUGAGACACGGUCCAGACUCCUACGGGAGGCAGCAGUGGGGAAUUUUGGACAAUGGGCGCAAGCUCGAUCCAGCCAUUCCGCGUGCAGGAUGAAGGCCUUCGGGUUGUAAACUGCUUUUGUACGGAACGAAACGGCGAGCUCUAAUACAGUUUGCUAAUGACGGUACCGUAAGAAUAAGCACCGGCUAACUACGUG